UCGAGUUACCAUUUAUUUCCUUUUAAAACGUGUACUUUGCAGCUUCAACCCUUGCUGACUCUAAUGACAUCACCUGAGGAAAUGUAUCAAACUAUGGUAAGCUCACAUUUAGAGGGAUUUAAAAAAGUGACGUCACAUCUGUAUUAGUGGCAAACCUGCAAACAUCUGCAAUGGCUACCUAGUUACCAGCAAGAAUAGAAGCCACAAAUCAAUUUAAUUGAGGACAAACUUUUCUUGUUUACUUCCUGGUCAGAGAACAUCGUGCACUCUUUUGAAGACAUUUUUUUAAUUAACAGGGAUCUGCUUGGUGAUGCUUGAAAUACCCUCAAGCUCGGGAGAGACCAUGGAGCCACUUAUGUGUUGGCAUACUGCAGAUUGCUAGCCAACUUUGAAUUUAAUCAACAAGGAAUCCAAAUGGUCCAGAGGUGAAAGGUGCAAAACCCGGAAAUGCGACACAAUCUUCCAGAUCGAGAAAAACCCAGGUGGACGGCCGAGCGUUCCCUCUCCACCUGAAACUCCCUCACUGGAAAAGUGCAGCGUCAACACAUUGAGAUGCCAAGACUUUUCAUUCUUCAUCUAAAAUGAAAUUGCACGGAGUGAUUAAGCUAAUACCACUUAAGUUGUUUUAAAAAUUUACAUCUAUUCACGGUUGACUUCAGGUGGUAGAAAGAAGGGCCUCCACACAUGCAUGUGUAUUCCUUUAUAUAUAUAUAUUUUUCAAAUGUACAACAUCAGCCCUCUCUCUAUAACAUAGAAUGUAUAUAACCCAUGCCUCCGUGCAACAGGGGAAAGUGGGUGUCUCUGUGGUCUCCGUCUCUGCCCUCUGUGUCUCCUGUGGGCCAAUUCCCAGUGACAUUCUGCCAAACCCCAAGGUAGCAAGCCAUGAAAAUGAGUGUGUUGCCCUGUGGGUUUAAAAAAAGACAUGUUUUGAUCCAUCCUCUUCGACUAUUCCUUCCCAUGCUUGUUCUCCUAUCUACAGAAUUAGUUCUGUGGGGUAGAGUGGAAAUUAAAGUUCAAUCACUUAGGUUUUCUGCUACCUUACCAUUAUUGCUACCAAAAGGGCUGCAAAUUAAGAUUCUCCUUGUCUCUCUGCAACCACUUGGAGACUGAAAAUUGUGUCACAGGGGACAUGAUGCAGUAAUUUGUGGCGUACAUAAAUAUGAUACAUUAUACAUAGAGAAGCUUUGUGUAUUCAUUUUUCCCAUCGGCUCUCU
ensembl:lncRNA